UACGUAGGGUGCAAGCGUUGUCCGGAAUUAUUGGGCGUAAAGAGCUCGUAGGCGGUUUGUCGCGUCUGCUGUGAAAACUCGGGGCUUAACUCCGGGCCUGCAGUGGGUACGGGCAGGCUAGAGGUAGGUAGGGGAGAAUGGAAUUCCCGGUGUAGCGGUGAAAUGCGCAGAUAUCGGGAGGAACACCGGUGGCGAAGGCGGUUCUCUGGGCCUUACCUGACGCUGAGGAGCGAAAGCGUGGGGAGCGAACAGG
rnacentral:rRNA from 1 species